rnacentral:rRNA from 1 species
UGCCAGCAGCCGCGGUAAUACGUAGGGUGCAAGCGUUAAUCGGAAUUACUGGGCGUAAAGCGUGCGCAGGCGGUUAUAUAAGACAGAUGUGAAAUCCCCGGGCUCAACCUGGGAACUGCAUUUGUGACUGUAUAGCUAGAGUACGGCAGAGGGGGAUGGAAUUCCGCGUGUAGCAGUGAAAUGCGUAGAUAUGCGGAGGAACACCGAUGGCGAAGGCAAUCCCCUGGGCCUGUACUGACGCUCAUGCACGAAAGCGUGGGGAGCAAACAGGAUUAGAUA